UUCCCCCAUAGCUAGCUCUCCCUCAGAUCCAUCGGAUGAUUUUGGAAGUCAAUGCAUUUUUGCUAUCAUCACAGCUCUGUGUUACUGUCGGGUCCGCACUCUGCAGGUGACAACAUUUUGCUCUGUGUAAAUUAUCAUGUACUUCCUCCGUUUCUAAAUAUAAGUCUUUUUAGAGAUUUCAAUAAGAACUACGUAUGGAUGUAUAUAGACUUAUUUUAGAGUUUAGAUUCACUCAUUUUGCUCCGUAUGUAGUCUGUAUUGAAAUCUCUAGAAUACCUUAUAUUUAGGAACGGAGGGAGUAGAUCGUUGCUGUAUAAGCUGGAUCUUAUUUGUGCAAGUUCCAUUCAUCUAUGCAUAUUUUUGGGAAGGCUCGAUUUGCCUAUUGUUAGAGGUCAAUAAGGAGAAGGUGAGUUGCCCAACUGCUGAGGAGUCAAAUAUAACAUUUCUUUCUUUCUGCAACAGCAUGGACGAUGCAGGUUCAGAGUCAACGGCUGUGCCCCUCGAUUUAUUACUACAAAUCACAGAUGGUUUCUCCGAGGAGCGGAAACUUGGUAGUGGUUCGUUUGGAGAGGUUUACUUGGGUGUGCAUCCAGACGGGCAAAAGAUUGCUGUGAAGAAGAUCUAUGAUAUGCCAGGAGUUGACGAGGAGCAAUUUCAGAAUGAGUUUAAGAACCUUGCAAGGCUGCAGCACCGAAAUAUUGUGCGGUUAGUUGGCUAUUGCCACCAUAUUCAGGAAGUACCAGCAAUGUAUGAAGGAAAAUUGGUUCUUGCGGAAAAGAUACAUAGGGCGCUCUGCUUGGAGUAUAUGUCUAAUGGAAGCCUUGAAAAAUAUAUUUCUGAUGAAUGUGAUAAAUAUGAUUGGCACACUGGCUACGGAAUAAUUAAGGGGAUUUGCCAGGGUUUGAAAUACCUCCACACUAAAUUAGAGCCACCUAUUUAUCAUUUGGAUUUAAAGCCAGCCAACAUAUUGCUGGAUGAGAACAUGGUUCCCAGAAUUGCAGAUUUUGGGAUAUCAAGGCUGUUUGGAGAUGAACGAACGCGAGCUACAAAAAGUACUUUAGGAACACAAGGGUACUUACCACCGGAAUACAUACGCAACUAUUUAAUCUCAAGUAAAUUUGACAUAUUCAGCCUGGGUGUUGUAAUCAUAAAGAUAAUGGCAGGACGGGCGGGCUACUACAAAAGCGCUGAAAUGUCUUCCCACGAAUUCAUUAAUGUUGUACAGGAAAAUUGGACAAAUAGGCCACAUGAAACAUCGAGUCUGAUGAAGGCAUAUUCCAAGCAAGUAAAGAUAUGUAUUGAAAUAGGUUUAAGUUGUGUGCAGGAGGAUCGACACAAAAGGCCCACUGUACAGAAUAUUGUUGAUAGACUGAAUGAGACAGAAACUGAGUGUACCUGUGCGUAUAAGAAAUUUGAGGUGCAGGAGAACUCAGGGGGGCUCACCCCUAAUUAUUUCAUGAAUAAUGGCCGCUCUGUCAGUGAAGUGCCUCUGAACAAUGAUGCAGGCCCUUCCAUACAAGCUAGAAAUGCAUGGCAAUAUCCUAAAGACAUGACUGCACAACAAGAACUUGGCGAACGACAAGCAGCUUCGCUUCCUAAUGGAAUUUAUGAGCCUCCUAGGCAGAUAAUGGAAGGUUUUCCUGAAUCUGGAGGCACCACUACAGUUGAAAGACAGGAUCUUGCAGUCAGAGUUCAAGAAGCAAUCACUGAUCCUUUUGUCGUCAAAGACCGCCGAAGCGCAUUAAAUGGAAAGAGUUAUCCUCCAUCUAAAGAAGAAGCGGUACAUCGUAUGGAGAACGUUUCUCUAAAGGGGAAGCGUUGCAAUGACCUAGCUGAUAAAAAUAUUACUACAGUGAAGCGCUUUAUGGGUCAUUAUCACAGAGACAAAUCUGGUCUCCAAAAGCUUAAAGUGAAGAGCUGGAAAUUGCCCGCAUUCAAGAAAUUUGAGGAGCGGGAAAACUCAGGGGUUCUUAUUCCUGAUUAUUUGAUGAUGAAUGGCUGCCCUGUCCGUGCAGUGUCUCUGAACAAUGAUGCAGGUCCUUCUGUACAAGCUAGAACUAUAUGGCAAUAUCCUAAUGACAUGGCCGCACAACACGUAUUUAGUGAUCGACAUCCAUUGAAUGGGUUCUCACGGGCCGCAGUCCUGUCAAACAAUGGCGCCGGUCCUUCAAACCAAGGAACACUGCCGUUUUCACAGCCCACAUAUGAACAGACUGUGCAUCAAGGAAAUGGUCAGCACGAUCCUUCUAUGGCGCAGAAUGGAAUUCCUGAUUAUCUGCCCCAGGGAAAUAUCUUAAAUGAUCAGGGAUCACUUUCAGCACAGCCAACUCCGUUCCACAAUUUUCUACCAGUUCCAGCGGAUGAGAUGAUCACAGGUGCAAGUCUAACUGACGAACAGACUGAAUACUUCUCGACAACUGAUUCUCUUGGCACUCUAGAAAAUGCAAUUCCUGGGCCUGAAUUGGACAUAUCCUGUGACAGCCCCAAGAGCUUAUUGCAAGCCAAGAAUCCUUUGAAACAAGGUAACUGGAGACAGCUUCUGGGAAUUAAUACAGGAGACUUGAAGCAGGUGAUCAUAGCAUGUGGUAAGGCUGCUGCAGAGAAUGAUAUACAUACAGAAGUGCUGAUAUCUGAGCUACGUCAGCUGGUGUCUAUCUCUGGAGAUCCAAUGCAACGCCUAGGAGCAUAUAUGUUGGAAGGCCUUGUUGCCAGAUUUUCUUCCUCUGGAAGUAAGCUGUAUAAAUCCUUGAAGUACAAAGAACCUACAAGCUCCGAGCUCAUGUCUUACAUGCAUCUCCUUUAUGAGAUGUGCCCAUUCUACAUGUUUGGUUACAUGUCAGCCAAUGGCGCCAUAGCAGAGGCUAUCAAAGGCGAGAACUUCGUUCACAUCAUUGAUUUCCAAAUCGCACAGGGGAGCCAGUGGAUAACUAUCAUUCAGGCUCUUGCGGCGAGGUCCGGGGGUCCACCAUGCCUAAGAAUCACUGGUAUAGAUGACUCAAACUCUGCUUAUGCCCGAGGUGGUGGACUGGAUAUGGUUGGGACAAGAUUGCAUAGUGUCUCUGCGUCGUGCGGUGUGCCCUUUGAGUUCAAUGCUGUUCAUGCUGCUAGCCAUGAGGUUUAUCUUGAGCAUCUUGAUAUAAGACCUGGGGAGGUCAUUGUGGUGAAUUUCGCCUAUCAGCUGCAUCAUACUCCUGAUGAAAGCGUGAGCACAGAAAAUCAUCGGGACAGGAUUAUAAGAAUGAUCAAGAGCCUAGCCCCCAGGGUGGUGACUCUUGUUGAGCAGGAGUCGAAUACAAACACAACUCCAUUCUUCCAAAGAUACUUGGAGACCCUCGACUACUACACGGCAAUAUUCGAGAUAAUAGAUGUUGCUCUCCCAAGGGAUGACAAGACACGGAUUAGCACGGAGCAGCACUGUCUUGCCAGGGAUAUCAUCAGUUUAAUCGCGUGUGAGGGUGCUGAAAGGGUUGAGAGGCAUGAGGUGUUUGGAAAAUGGAAGGCAAGGUUUGCAAUGGCUGGAUUUAGGCCGUACCCACUGAGUUCGCUGGUGAACAACACCAUCAAAACACUGCUGGAUGGCUACCACCGUUGCUACAGGCUUGAGGAAAGGGACGGAGUCCUUUACCUUGGUUGGAAGAGUAGGAUGUUGGUCGUGUCUUCUGCAUGGCGCUGACAUGUCCUGAGAAGACGCUCAUCGUACUGAUUCAGGAGAAAAGUCUAGGAAAUAUGUGAUGAACCUGUGAUAUACAACUCUGGAGAUCCAGCUCACACCCAAAUAUGUGCAAUAUGGAAGGCUCUCCAAGCUCAUCUUCCGAUGCUUCUUCAAGCCAGGAGGAGUGUAUUUGAAAAAGAAGGGUCUUUCGAAGAAUUGCCAACAACCGUCUGCGCUUCUCAUUUAUGUAUGUUACCAUGACAGCAACAGGAGCUGUGAGGAGCAUAUACCCAGCUGGAAGCAGUCAUCAGAGCCUUGGCCAACACAGGGGGUAUCUUCGGGUGGACACCAGGCGAAGAUGGCUGUCUGUUCUGUUGGCGCUCGUAUCGCGCGUCGAUAAGACAACGAGAAGCCGACUUCGAUUUGUUGCUGCUUGGCUUUCUCAACAAAUCAGCCAUUAUGGUCUAAAUUUUUAAUGCCAAAAUUAUGUUUCUAGACCAUGUAAUAAGAUGGCUGUGGAAAAGAAGAAGAAAAAGGCAUGCAUUGGUUGCCCCCCCCCCCCCCCCAAAAAAAACAGAGCAUGAAGCAGCAGCUCCUCUGUUUCCGCUAGCUGCAUCUGCAUGCAUGCUCUGUUUCGUCCCUGGUCCGAGAGCACUUCAGUCCAUAAAGGCCAUCCUAGGCAUUGCCUUCUGAAUUUAUGGUUCUUUCUCGCCACAACCUUAACUGAAUAAUCUCCGUGCCUGAAAA